CCUACGGGAGGCAGCAGUGAGGAAUAUUGGUCAAUGGACGCGAGCCUGAACCAGCCAAGCAGCGUGAAGGAUGACUGCCCUACGGGUUGUAAACUUCUUUUAUAAAAGGAUAAAGUGAGGCACGUGUGCCUGUUUGAAUGUACCGUACGAAUAAGGAUCGGCUAACUCCGUGCCAGCAGCCGCGGUAAUACGGAGGAUCCAAGCGUUAUCCGGAUUUAUUGGGUUUAAAGGGAGCGUAGGUGGGUUGUUAAGUCAGUUGUGAAAGUUUGGGGCUCAACCGUGAAAUUGCAUUUAAUACUGGCAGUCUUGAGUACAGUUGAGGUAGGCGGAAUGCAUGGUGUAGCGGUGAAAUGCUUAGAUAUCACGCAGAACUCCGAUUGCGAAGGCAGCUUACCAAACU
rnacentral:rRNA from 1 species